GAUGAACGCUGGCGGCGUGCUUAACACACGCAAGUCGAACGAAGCAUUUGCGACAGAUUUUUUCGGAAUGAAGUUGCUUAUGACUGAGUGGCGGACGGGUGAGUAACGCGUGGGUAACCUGCCUUGUACUGGGGGAUAGCAGCUGGAAACGGCUGGUAAUACCGCAUAAGCGCACAAUGUUGCAUGACAUGGUGUGAAAAACUCCGGUGGUAUAAGAUGGACCCGCGUCUGAUUAGCUAGUUGGUGAGAUAACAGCCCACCAAGGCGACGAUCAGUAGCCGACCUGAGAGGGUGACCGGCCACUGUGGGACUGAGACACGGCACAGACUCCUACGGGAGGCAGCAGUGGGGAAUAUUGCACAAUGGAGGAAACUCUGAUGCAGCGACGCCGCGUGAGUGAAGAAGUAAUUCGUGAUGUAAAGCUCUAUCAGCAGGGAAGAUAGUGACGGUACCUGACUAAGAAGCUCCGGCUAAAUACGUG
rnacentral:rRNA from 1 species